GACGAACCGUGCGAACGUUGUUCGGAAUCACUGGGCUUAAAGGGUGCGUAGGCGGUUCCAUAAGUCAGUGGUGAAAUACGGCAGCUCAACUGUCGAGGUGCCAUUGAUACUGCGGAACUUGAGUACUGAUGAGGUAGGCGGAAUUGACGGUGUAGCGGUGAAAUGCUUAGAUAUCGUCAAGAACACCGAUAGCGAAGGCAGCUUACCAAGCAGUAACUGACGCUCAGGCACGAAAGUGCGGGGAUCAAACAGG
rnacentral:rRNA from 1 species